ACAAGUCAGUAAGAUUGUUGUACCUUUGAAACUUCCUUAUGUUUAUUCUGUUCUUAUAAUUUUCUCUUUUCCUCAGAGUGAUUAGCAAUCAAACUUUUUUUAAAAGGCUCAUAUGUCCUGGUCUAUGUGGGCAGAAAGUAUAAGGGGCUCAGAGAGUGGGCAUAAAAACACUGAAGCCAGGACUGCAGAGGAGAAGAUACCCAAAGAACAAAGAAGAUGCUCUCUGAGUCAGGUAAACGAAAACCAGCAUUCUCCGUGUAAGCUUUAAACAAGAGGGGAGACCAUACAUGGCCAGAGCCAGGGAGUGGAAAAACCCCCGAAUUUAAGAAGGAAAGGAACCUUGUGGUUUCUUCAGCUCCAGGAAAUAGCAGACACACCCCUAUCCACACCCCGCUACCAUUUAUAUCUACCCUGGGUUCUUCUAUUUAAUUAGAAAAUCUUUUAUUUAUCAAGCAAAUAUUUGUUGAGUGAUGUGCCAGGAAUAGACAGGAGAGGAAAGGAGGAAGUCGGUUCGUUUCAGUUAGCCAAGUUGGUCUAUUCAUCUUUUCCUUCUUAAACAAACGGCUCCUUCACUCCCUCCCUCCAGACAAGCGUUCUGUGUGAAAGCUUUUAUCUUUUCACAUGACCCUACAUCCUUGUUCACAAUGAUUGGUUCCCUUCAGGGGUGAACAACUUACCCAAGCCAAUCGCUGUGCCUCACUCCCUUGACCACUGCAAUUGGUCAAAGGGUUGUCAUGUCAUAUUAUCUUAAUAAAGCUUCUGAUUUAUUAAGUCAAUCAGACUUCUUCCCUCGCUUUUUUUUUUUUUUAAACUUUAUGGGAAAGGAGGGCUCCUUCCCUCCAGUUCAAGACCCGUGAGCCCAGAUGUGAGCCUGGAAACUGUAGAAAGCCAGAAAAGAAGCAGAGGGGAAAAUAAGACAAUGAGCAAAACCCUCAGAGACGCAGGAAGGAAAAAAGUCCUGCUGGCAUUCAGAACCCUGUGUCAGGUCUUUGUGAAUCACCCAUUUCCUCUGUCCAUCUGGCUGUCUGAUUAUUUAAGCCAUAACCUUUCCAUUCUUCUGAAGCUAUUUCCUAUUGUAUUUCUAUUAUUUGAAACCAAAGGGUGUUCCCCAGUACAGGGGUUUGGAUUGCAGAGCUGUGUGAGCUCUAGUACGCCUCCUGGGUCUAGUGAAGCAGACAGGUGCCAGAUCAGAAGCUUUAUUAAGAUAAUGAGGGAGGAAGCCAAGCACGGUGGCUCACAGCUUUAAUUCCAGCACUUUGGGAGGUCGACGCAGGUGGAUCACUUAAGGUCAAGAGUUUGAGACCAGCCUGGCCAAAAUGGAGAAACCCCGUCUCUAAUAAACACAAAAAUUAGCUGGGUGUGGUGGCGUCCCUGUAAUCCCAGCUAUUGGGAGGCUAAGGCACCAGAAUCACUUGAACCCAGGAGGUGGAGAUUACAGUGAGCCCCGAUUGUGACACUGCACUCCAGCAAGACUCUGCCUCAAAAAAAAAAAAAAGAUGAGGGAACUAAUGAUGCUCUCAUUACCUUUUACCUAUUGAUAGAACUGUGCCUUCACUUAACAUUAAUGCAAACAAUACUUGUUGAAUACCUGCCCUGUAUUUCCCUCAUCAGUUUUUGGCCUUUGAAAUUGAAUUCAUGCAUGCCCGUUCUUCUUUCCGUCUUAAUUUCAUUCAGCCUAUUGGGAAAAGUAAAAGGGAGGAUUCCACUUAUGCCCGUAACUGUGAAAAUGCAACGUUUCUUUAGUGGAAAAUUUACAAUUAACCACAAGAUGGGGCUGUUAUGCAAGGAAGUAAAAGCUAAUGGUUGGCGGGAAGAGGAUGCAACAUUUCCAGCAUCCAGGAUAGGAUAUUUAAAUGCUUCCUCACUAGAAAAUAAGGAAAGGAAAAUAUUUUAAGAACAUAUAUUCAUCAAAUGAAAGCACUACUCAUAACAACUUCAGGGAUUACUCUUUUUUAACAAUCUAGUGUUCCUUUUUGGGAAAAUGAUACAUAAUUAUUACAGUAGAUAUUUUCCCCUCCGAGAUUCUGCCUACAUCAAGGUUGAUUGCUUGUCUUUCUUCCUGGUUUUAUUCAUCUUCAUUCUUCAGCCCCUUUCAAUGAAAGGUCAUAACAUAAAGCUAAAAUACAUGCAUUAAUUUAUUAAUUUAUUUACAGAUUUCUAUGUACUCUGGUAUUCAAGUUCAAAGAUGAAGAAAUAGCAUUUGAUAUAUUUUAUUAACAUACUCUUUUUUCCUGGUGUCUUCCACCUCAACCUAAAGUAAAUCACUUUGACCUCAUUUCCCCCUUGGGUUUGCAGUUUGAAGAUCUGGAAAACUCUUGAUUAAUAGCAAUAACGUAAGUAGACACAUUUUUAGAAAAUCCAAAAGAGGCAAGAGGAAGGUGAGCCCUGCAUAUGCCUUUGCCUUAGGAGAGACUACAGCAUUUGCUGGGGCAAGAUGACCACAGAAGGCAGCUAGCUGAGAAUGUCCAUUCACCCUGGGGCUGUGCAAAGCAGGAAGUCUGCACUUAGAUGCAAGGGAAGCCACAGAGAGGAGGCAUUCCUGUUCCUUCUAGGGCACAGUCCAAUCUGUGUUGCGCUCACUCAAACUGGGAGCCUCCUGUUGAGAAAUGGGAAACCUAAAAAUAAACCUGUAGAAAGUACUUUGACCUUGGCUUGAAAGUCAGCCCAGUGCUAUGACAAGAAAGGCCUUUUACAUGAAGAUUAUGUUCUUAAAAGCCAUAUUUCAUCCUCACCCAGACUCCCAGUAAAACCACACUCAGAAAAUGUGCGUCUUGGCUAUCCUUCAACUGUAAAAUCAUUAUGUUUGGCUCUGGUUAUUCUGGACAUUAGAUGUCUAUGGAAGGGUUUCUUUCUGAAAUUCCUUGUACAAACUGUUAGGGGUUAUAAACUGGAUUAAUAGCGACAUUUAAGCAAAUCUGCUAUGCUGUAUGUAUGUAAGACUUUAUGAUUUUUGGAAAGAAUUCAAGGAAAAAGCAGAAAAAAAUGUAUUCAAGUAAAUCAGAAUGCACAUGCUUUAGAAUUAAUGACAAUAAACUAAUAACUUUUCUUGAAGAAAUCUAGCCAGAACUUCAAGAGAAUAUAUUUUGUUAAAGUUUUAGUAAUUAAAUCCAAAAUUAAAGGGUACUAUCCUAUAAUUUCUUGCAUGUGUUAGGAUUAUAAUAUUUAAAAUUUUCAAUAUCAAAGCAUUUCAGGCGACUUUCAUAUGUAUUCUGCAUGUAUUUCAAGGAUAACCCUUAAACGAUGAUAAAAAGCUAUUAAAGAGGGGAGAAAAAGCACUUUUACAUACUUAGGUAACUUUCUAAAGAACAGCUGCCACCAAUUAAACAACAAAUACCUUGUAAAGACUCUUGGGGGUUCAAUGUUCUUUCAUUGAACUGAAAAAUGGACUGAAAAAUCUGGGAAAAUGGACUUCAUUAGCAACUACAAACUUAUUGAAAGGAUAUCUGAAAUGGCAUUUAAUACCUGCAAAGACAAACAAUCAGUAGUUUAAAGUUUCACCAUAAGAUUGGUAAAUAACACUGAUUACAGGUCUUAUUCAAACAGAAAAUAAUGAAUAUGUAAUGAGAGGAGAAUAAUGAUCCAAAUUGCUCUUAAUCUUGGAGUUGUGCCUAUUGAUUGGCCUGGAAAUAAUAGUGCUAAUCUUACAGUAAGAAAGUCAAGUGCUUUAGAAAGUCAUUAGCUUUGGGGAAACAGGAUACCCAUUUCAUUGUACCAAUACAGAGUUUUAUUGAGUAAAGCCUCAAACAAUGUAUGUUUAAGAAAAAUUCCAAGGUUAACCUAAGUCAAAUAGCAUUCCUCUCCACUCUGUAACUCAUAAAAGCAAUUUAGGUACUCCUUAUAAUUCAUCCAACUAAAUGCCUAUUGUAUUCCUGCAACACAAGAUAAUCAAAUACAGUAAAUAAUUCAGCAUUCCAAAAGGUAAUUAUUGAUCUCACACUGGCUUAUUUCUAAUAAGCUGAAGAAGUAGUAACCUUCUCAAAACAGUACAUCUACAUUUUAGACAGGCAUUCCUGAGACACUCUGGCAAAGUUUCAUGAACGAACAUAUUUAUAAGCAAAUAUACAUUACAAAGACGCAAAGUCUUUUUAAAAGUCAUAAUUUCUCAUCUCUAGGAGAAGCCUCAAAGGAUUCUGAAUUUGAAAUAUCUUUACUUCCCAUUAACUUUCCAUGUAUCCAAUUACAGGUUAAAUUUACAUUCUUUUCAAUACAUUUUUGAGACCUUAAAUGUAUUCUUAGAUCCUGAGCUUGAAAAAUGAUUGCUUUUAUUUUAAUUUAAAUAACACAAGCAUCUGGUUAAUGAAAAUAGAUAUAACAUGAAAAACCCUGGCUCCUCUUAGCAACUGUGCAUGGAACAGGUAACUGGCCAGUGUUAAGGGUUGCCAGGUGGGGGCAGCAGAGAGCGCUUCGCAAUGACGUGUUAGAUGAGGCUCUCAAGACCAGCUGGUUGCCAGGGAACACGCCGGGCACCUGAGAAGUGGGCGAGAUCAAUUUGUUAUGGGGAAGUCAGCUGAAUGCAGAGUUGAAAACAGAAAGUGUAAGCCAGGGGGAACAAAAAAAGACUGAAGUCAAACUGGAAAGAGCUUGGGCCUGGAAGUCACGAAAACCUGACUUCUGACCUUUACCAAAUGUGUCACCUCAGUUGCGUGUUCCUGGAGGAAGAUCAUAUACCAGUUAAACUGCCAUUUUGCCUCUCAGUGUGUAUGUUUGAACCCAUUCGACCAACUCCUGAGAAUUUAUCAGAAAACUGCUGAUCACCAGCUUCAGGUGUUUUCUGUCUAUUGGGAGGCUUUUUCCUGGCGCCAGCUGUGACCAAUUAUUUUGGAGAGACCGUUUAACAAUCACUUGAUCAUCACCUGAUUGUCACCUGACAUUCCUGAUGGGGGCCCUCUCCUGCCCUGCUUGUGUUGUGUCUGUCUAACUACCACGCUAAAAACCUAAGAACUUGGAUGUGUUUCUCUCAAAGUUUGACACUAUUCCUCUGAAAGGGAGAGCACAAUUAAGGAGGACUUACUGACUUACAGAAGGAGAAUGAAUGAAAGAAGAAAUGCAACUUGUCUAAGAUUAUGCGAAAGGCAGCGAGUGUUCACAGGUAGAGGAUAAAGGGAAAGAGACAGAGCUGAUUCUACUGGGGAUCCAGCAGAGCUUUGAUGAUGCGGACUGUUUCCUAUUUUGCCUGUGAAGAUUGUCCAGAGCUAAAGUAAGUAAACCUGUGGAGAAUAUGGAGAUAAAAUACAAGACAAAAAGGUAGGAAAUGGGCAAAAGGAAAAUAAUAUAUGUAUUACACAUUUUGUAAUUAAGAAUAUGAAGGAUUAGCUGGAUGUGGUAGUAUGGGCCUGUAGCCUCAGUUACUCGGCAGGCUGAUGUAGGAGAAUAAUUUUUGAACCCAGGAGAUGGAGACUGUAGUGAGCUGUGAUUAUGCCAUUGCACUUUAGCCUGGGCAACAGGUAGGACUCUAUCUCUAAAUUAAAUUAAAGAAUGUAAAGGGGAGCCAGCCACAGCAACACACAUCUAUAAUUUCAGCUACUUGGGAGGCUGAGGCAGGAGGAUUGCCUGAGACCAGCAGUUUGAGAUCAGCCUGGCCAACACAGUGAGACACCAUCUUUACAUAAAAGAAAAAGAAAGAAUGUGAAGGGGAAUGCCCCAGGGGUAUUGCUAUGAACUGUACUGCUGCUAUAUCCAACAGAGUAAUUUUAGCUGUGAUUUACAGAGACCUUAACAAAUUGUAACUUAACCAUUAGGAAAGUUCUUCCUCAAUGUAAAGCAGUCUGGAGGAAGGUGAUUCCCAGUUGUUUGGGGAGCUCAUGACACAGCAAGGGCCCACACUUGUCCCACCUGUCUGGUAGACCAUCCUCUGCAUUUUGACUAAGUUUUCCAUUUUGAUCAUAAGGUAGCUGCUGGAGCUCCCAGCAUAAAAUUCUCACACAUCAGCUUCUAUCAAUUCCUAAGCAGGAAGGAAGUGGAUAUGGGUAAAGAGAGACUUUUCUUUUUCCAUGCCUUUCUCUUAACUGAGA